GUCUACGGCCAAGCCACUCUGAACGUGCCCGAUCUCGGCUGAUCUCGGAAGCUAAGCAGGGUCGGGCCUGGUGAGUACUUGGAUGGGAGACCACCUAGGAAGACCAGGUGCUGUAGGCA
rfam:Pteropus alecto contig33913, whole genome shotgun sequence.